UACGUAGGUGGCAAGCGCUGUCCGGAUUUACUGGGUGUAAAGGGCGUGUAGCCGGGCUUACAAGUCAGAUGUGAAAUCCGGGGGCUCAACCCCCGAACUGCAUUUGAAACUGUAGGUCUUGAGUAUCGGAGAGGCAGGCGGAAUUCCUAGUGUAGCGGUGAAAUGCGUAGAUAUUAGGAGGAACACCAGUGGCGAAGGCGGCCUGCUGGACGACAACUGACGGUGAGGCGCGAAAGCGUGGGGAGCAAACAGG
rnacentral:rRNA from 1 species